rnacentral:lncRNA from 1 species
GCGGUAUGAAUGCCAUCCCGUCUGUGCCGACCUGCAGGCCCAGAUUCUCCAGUGUUACCGCCAGAACACCCAGCAGACCCUCAGCUGCUCCGCUCUGGCCAGCGAGUACAUGCGCUGUGUCAAUCAGGCCAAACAGCUUUAAAAGCCAAACUAGUUGUCACCUUCAAGGGUUGCUAUCAAGACUUGGUUAGGUCCUAACCAACUUUCAUUUGGGUAGUUGUAGAAAGAGCCCACAGUCUCCUUGUGUUCAACUUACUCCCAGAAACAAAUAAGUAAAUAAAUAAAUAAGUAAAUAAAUUUUUAAAAAUCUGUAAAUAAUGCCUUUUCCAGUUGCUCUGAACUUUUGUCCUCUACUCAGUAAUUGUGUCCUCAAGGUCAUUGCCCCAUACUGGGCCAGCAGCUUCAGAUCUAGAGACAGCUAGAGCCUGUUUUAAAACAAACAAAAGGCAAACACUCAAACUAAAACAAAAGCCCACCAUGCUAGCAUCAUUCAGUCUUUUACUAAUUGGUGGAGUCCAGUCAGUUGGGCAGGGAAAGAGAGGCCGGAGAUGGAUUUAGGAAGCGAUAUCCGUCGCUUCUGUGUACCAUGGAUAUAUUCUUAUGAUCCUUCCUGUCAGAGUAAUAUGAUGAUCAUGGGACAUGUAUUUUUCUGUAAUUUAUGUACUUCAGAAAGCUAAUGAUAAACCCUGAAGCAAAAUAUCCAUUUGGCAGGUCACAUAAUUGCCUAUCAUUUAACUGAUUGUAACAGUUGGAUAUAGGUUUUUCUGAGAGAUGGAAAUUGUUGGAAACCUUGGUUCUUUGUGCUGACAAACUCCCUAUAGUUGACCUUCCAACCCAACUGAAUUUAGUGUUUGAGUUGCACAGCAUGCCUUCCUGUGGUCUAAUUUGCUGUAGUUAUGAGAAUGCCGCUUAAUAUAAAUUUCUAUCACCAUAAAUAUCUAGUGGGAGGGUCAGUAUUGUCUAGAUAGCUGGAAAAUAACAGCGACACUGGUAGAAAAAACUAAAACCAAAAUAGAGUAAAGGCUUGUGUUGUCUUUAAAAGCCUUGUGGCUUGAGGCUUUUUUCUGUUUCUUGCUUAUACAACACCUACAUAACUUAGUGGUAUGCCAGGGAUUCCGCUCUUCUGAGGCCUUUGGUAAAAGUAAUGUUGCUAAUGUUAAGUUAGUACAUUUUAAUUUUCAAAAACAGCUUCUGAUUUGCUCUUGACCACCUCCAGCCUUCAGUAUUGACAGUAACUGAAGCAUGUGGAACCGUGAGGACUUUGACCGUGUGAUGUUAGUGCUCUCUUGAGUGGGGGAGGUGGUCAGUGCACAGAAUGGUGGUGACUAAGUGUGUGUCCAGCGCUAGUGUCUGGUAACGUAGGUGCCUGUGUCUCCAGCGUGACUGCUAACAUUACUGCAGGAGCACCUGUAGUGGUGUCUGGAGUGGACUCCAUCCUGAUUGUCAAGUGUGUUGACCUAUCUCUACGUAGCCCCAUGAGAUCAACAGUGUGCAUUUACAGAAUAAAACAGAGGUAACUUGUGACAAAAUCAAAUAUGCCACAUGGAGCAACAGAGAGUUUGAAUUGGGCAGAUCUGAGUUUGUAUCUAAGCCCUGUCUUUACUGACCCUGUGACCUUGAUUUUUCUCAUCAGCGAAGGGAAGUAAUGUAUUGUGAGGACUCCAUUUUUACCGAGUAUUCAAUAAGUCUUAAUUUUUUCCCUCCUUUCUUUCCUCAGUUGUAUUAUUCCAUGCCGAAACCAACUUAAACAAAUUGGCCAGAAGCAUCAAAUUAUUUAUUACUAGUGAUUCCAAAGGAACUCUCCUUCUCCUGCUCCCCAUCUGCUGUAUAAUUUAAUACUAUUUUCAAUAAAUAUGUCUCAGGUGCCUAUUGUUUUUACAAUGUUUAUAUUCAAGUAUGAGAAUUAGGAUGUAUAACACCAGGUUAAAAAGAUAUGUCCACAAAAACCUUUUAAACCUAAGAUGGGCAGCAUUGAAAUGGGCAAUAACCAAGAAACAAUAACAUCUCGUAUUUCUGUAGUACUUUAGAUUUCAAGGUCAUUUCACAUCCAUUCUCUUACUUGUUUUUUAUGACAACCCGAGAUGUAAAUAGAGAUGGUUUUAUUUUCCCCAUUUUAUAGUUGAGAGAAUUGAAGCCCAGGGAAGUCCUGGUGGUAAGUUUAACAACUAGACCAAGAUAUACUUUGUUAUAAAAACAGCGGAUUUAAAAAUAGUGUUUGGGAUUUGAGUUGGGUGUGUGAAGGGACAUCCAUUAUCUAUUAUUUCGGAAAGGCACUGAAGGAGGGUGUGCGUUAUAAUCACAAAGUGAAGAGAAAAAACUUGAAGACCAAAUGAGGUAGUGAUUGAGACUGAAAGCAGCCAACAGGGGAGUGGGAUUAUAAAGCCCCCGGCGCAUGAGCAGAGGCGCAGCUUAGCACUGCUGCAUUUUAAGACCACGCCAGAGUGGCCGCUUGGGGUGGUAUCAGUGUUUCUUGAGUAGCCGCUUUGACACUGACGCCGUGUUUUCCUUUUUCUUGUUACAAAGUUUGUCUAAUGUUGUGACCCCAGCUCUUCUGUCCCCGUUGUUGGAAGAGGCUUUGGCAGGAUACGUGGUCCUGAUCAUUGAUGGCAGCAGUUCCUGACCAGUUAGCACCCCUUCUUAUGUUUCCUUGUUAAAUCCAAACAACAAGCUGGACAUAAGAUACUAAACACAACAACAGCCCAUUUGGUCCUGCUGUCCAUUUCCGGCGUAGUGCACGAGUUUCCCCCUGGGAAUAAUUCCAGUAGCCAAAUCCACUCCAUGUUUAAAUGACUCAUAAGAUUGAGCUUUCACUGGUUCCCUUGGGGCAUUGUUCUGUGGACUAAUAGAUUUUACCGAUAGGAAAAUUUCCGGAUAUUCCUUAGCCUUACUUUUUGUUUCUUAAUCAUCCACUUAUUCACAUCAGUCUUUCUUCAGCUAGGCUUAAUUCCUCACGGGUCAACAUGAGACAUUUAGACUCUUACUUCCAGUGUAUUGCGUUAUAUAUUCUUCAUAAUGGCAAAGAGAUAGUCAGUUGCUGUAACUAUUCUAAGACUUUAAGGCUACUGGCUAGUUGUAUGAGAUACAGAGUUUAAAAGUAUAGGAGGACAUUGACUGAUAGACUUGUGUCUUUUAUUUCUCAUAUCUGCUUAGCCUCUUAGCUUCUGUAAACUCCCCAAGAGUGACUUACCGAACUGUUCUUCCUAUUAAAACCUGAUCCCCAUUCGGUCUUGCUUCACAUCCUUGCAGGAGAAGGGAAGGGAGGCAGAAAUGGGAAGCCAGUGGUAUUGGCCCACUGGUGGACCAAACUGUGCUCAAGUUCUGUUUAUAAAAGGACAGUGUGUAGAAAGCGCUUGCUCGAAGAUCUGCACUGCCUCUGCUUCCUGGGACAGCCCCUGACCCCUCAGUUUAUUUGCAGAAUCCAGCUGCUUAGGGGUAGUAAUUCUAAGCGUUCUAGCUCUUUUCUCAGCCCUCUGCUAUUGGCAGAAAGGUACAGAAGCUGGCUAGACUCUUGAACAUUAUGUGUUCAGUGAAGGGGAGAGUGUGUGGGCGAUGCCUUUGCUCACAUCCUCAUAUUAGUCCUGGGGACCUGGGCUGCAGUUUCUUUGGUAAAUUAAGGGUUUGAACGAGGUGAUCCACUAGGGCCUUCCAGCUGUUAUUUAGAGCAGAUUCCACUUGCAUGUCUUUCUUCUCAUAGUGGCAGGCCGCACGAGCACGCAGGUUCCUGAGCACAUUCGCAUUAAAAGACACGGGCUCUUGGGCACCACACCAUCUCUGCUUUGGGGACCUGCAGCUCUUGUGCCUCUGCUUCUUAUAUUUUGCUGUCAGCCCUUUCCCUCUAGGAGAACAGCUGCACUUCUGCUGCCUGAUCUUUCCUCAAAGCUCCUACUCUUGACAGCCCCGAGGAGGAACUGGGAGGGGGUAAAAAGAGUCUCACAGUUUCUCCAGAGUCAGUGAAGUGGAAAAGGGCUCUUUCACUGGUGCCUGGCAGAACGGAGCCUGCUGGCUAGGAAGCUGCACUGGAGAAUGCAGGCUGGUGCCCUCAGCCGCCCUGGGCCACUCUGUACUGCACUGGCAUUCACCUUGCGGGACGUGGUAAGGGACCGUGAUGGAGACGGAGCAGGAGGCCGGAUCGGAAGGAAAGACCAGGGCUAAAAGUAAGGACCAGACCAGGAGAGGCCCAAGGGCCCAAGGAGUAGACUGAGUCUGGAGGCUAGAGUCCAACGAUCGAGUCCAGUCAGGAACUGAUAAACUGUAGCCAGGGUUUAAAAUCAAGCAGUGGGCAGGUAACAAAGCAAGCAGCGUAGCGGAAGGAAGGACCGAAAUGAGAACCUCUGGUAAGUGUCAGCUCCCACUUGGGCCCAUGUGCAUCCUGCUGAUCUCUUGAGGAGAUCAAGAUGUCACCCGACUGCAGCAGGGGACAUGGGGUCAAGACCCUGAUGUAUGAGGCCAGAUCCUAAUGUGAAGUUACUCCACUCCCAAACUAAUGUACUCAGUUCUUCAUUUCCAAAGUGUAAAUGAUACGUCCAGACUGUGGUUAGCCACCAAAAGAGAAGAGCCCAAGAUGAGAGCCUGUAGAGGUGCUUACCCAGCAGAACGCGUCAGCAGUCCUGAGAACAGUGUGUUUUGCCUCCUCCUCUGGCUCUUGGAUUUAUGUUAGACUAGGCCUCCCAAACAUCCCCAGUAUUGGAGUGUGAAGAGCACCUGAAAACAUGGUAGUAGCUGUCACUUUAGAAAUCAGAAUUCUUGAAAGAAAAACCUAGUGCCAGAGCAAGCUGUAUUUUAUUAUUGUUUUCAGAUGAACUAUUAAUUACGUGUAGAUGAUUUAAUAGACUCAUACGCUGUUAGAGCUAGAAGGACAUAGAGAUCAUGUAACCUGAUUGUAUCUUUUCACUUGGAAAAAUUAGCAUCCAGAGAGUCAGUGACCUGUAGAUGGGGCGGAGUCCAGGCCAGAACUGUCUGGUGCCAGCCCUAGUUUUCUGUGCCCUGUGACAUCAGGUCGCAAAUGUGGGUGAUCAGAAUCAUCUGGGAAGUUUAUUUAAAAUGCACCUGCCUGGGAGUUCCCAUCGUGGCUCAGUGGAAAUGAAUCCAACUAGUAUCCAUGAGGAUGUGGGUUCAAUCUCUCGCCUCGCUCGGUGGGUCAGGGAUCCGGCAUUGCCGCAGGCUAUAGUAUAGGUCACAGCCGCAGCUCAGAUCCUAUGUGGCAAUGGCUGUGACGUAGGCCAGCAGGUGCAGCUCCCAUUUGACCCCUAGCCUGGGAACUUCCAUAUGCUGUGGGUGCAGCUCUAC